ACCGACACAGCGACGCGGAACGGUUAGAGAAGGAUAAGCCGAUAAGCUGGGCUGCUUUCCCGAAGGAGAAAAAGCGCACCACCUUUAGCUUUUUCCCGGGGCUUGUCGUAUUAUUAUUUUUUUAUUACUUUAUUAGCUCUUGUCGCUGAGCAUUGGGCAUCUUUGUGCACACGUUUGUAGGUGGGUUUUAUCUGUUCCCACCGCACGCGCC
rnacentral:lncRNA from 1 species